GCUCGCCCUGCCUGAUCUUACAGGGAUGGCAGAGGCGCUGAAAGAAAGUGGCUCCAAUGCACGGGCUCAUUGAAGCCGUGCUCGUUCCGGGUCUGCUUGCAACCUCUGGGCUCACGGAGGACCUGGGAGAGCACGCACAGCGCAAGAGACUUCUGUGACCAAGAAUUCUGUGACCAUCAUGGGCCCAGCUGUCACUGGGAGGGGGACAGUCCAGGGGAGACAGCAUGGAAUGUGCCCGGGCACCUCUGCUGGAGUCGUGUUUGAAAAGCCACUCUCCUCUCAGGAUGCUGCCCUGCCAAGCAGCUGCCCACAGCUUCUGAGCAACAUCCAAACCGCUUGGCCUGGCCUUCGAGGCCGCCAGGUGGGGCCUCCGCCUCCUGCCCCUGCCCAACCCUGACCCCGCGCUCCAGCCAUGGGAACAUCCGCCACAACCCCACCGAAUGCCAGGCCCUUCCGCGGCCGCCGCCCCCCGCAGGCCUUCGAGGAGCUGUGGCCAUCAGCCUUUCAACGAGGGGUCAGCCGAGGCUCGGGGAAGCGGGCGCCUUGCUCCGCCGACUGUGUCAGGACUUGGACCUGGGUCCUCUGGCUGCAAAACCAGGCUCUUCACACUGAACCAUAAUUUCUCCACACUUGCUCCAUCGGCUAGUCCACCACCUUUUCUGGAACUCUUUUCCAUCUCAGCUUCCCAAACUCUAGUUGUCCUUCAAGGCUUGGCCCAGAUGUUGCCUCCCCCAGGCAGCCUCCUCAGACUACUUGCCAGAUCACCUCUCUCCUCCCCUUGCAGUCUGCCAUUGCCUUGACCUUGGUUCACCGAAGUCCUGGGGGGGAGGGGAGAUUGUGUUCCAGUGGCAGAGAUUGCUAGUUGCCCCCAAUAUCCAUUAUCCUCUCUUCCUAAAGCAAAAGAAACGUCAAAUUUGAGUUGGGCACAUGACUGUCCGUUCAAGUUCUUAGCCUCCUUUGCAGCUACAUGUAGCUGUUUGACUAAAUCCUUGCCAAUGACAUGUGACCUGUGAAACCUCUGGGUCCUGCCUCCAGAAGGAAGAGACAUGGCUUCCCCUUCUUCUUCUUUCUGUUUGCACUGCUGCAUGACAGAGGUGAUGGCAGGAGCUGGAGCAGCCAUAUUAACUAUGGGUAGGAGCUGGGUGUUGAGGAUCACAGAGCAACAAGGUAGAAAGAACCUGGGUCACCACCACAUUGGCCUAGACUGCUAAAGCUCAGACUGUUACAUGAGAGAGGGGAAAAAAUCCCCUUUGAUCUCAUUUAAUUCAGUGUUAGUUUGGCAUUUGUUAUAGCAGCCAAACUGUAUCCUAAUUAGUACUGACUCAGACUGAGAAGUUGAUUAACUGUUUGCAGAAUGGCUAAGGGAUUACUAACCAGAAGCCAGUGAGCUUUUCAGAGCACAUGGCACUCUGGGGUCACGGAAGGGGUGUGUCCAUGGGUUUCAGUGCUGGCCCACGUCAUAACUGUGGCUCCUUGGGCAAGCUACAUAAUGGCUCAGUGGCUCACAGGCCUCUUCUGUGACACGUGGGUGACAGUCCGCCCUGCAGAGUGAGGCUGAGAUGAGAUGACCCACAUAAAGGGCUUGGUUUCGAAGGCCCCUGUGUGUGUUGGUUCCUCUCCUGGGCAGAAAUGGCUUUAGUGAGAGCUGGGCACACCUCUUCUCGUCUGCCCCUCCACUGUCCCCUCCCCCUUCCUAUUCAAGGGGGCCACCCCUUCCUCCUCCCUCCUGUGCUCUGUACCCUCACCCUUCCCAGGGAGGGCUGGGUGAUUUAAUGAGCCCACAUGAAAACAUUCA
ensembl:lncRNA